rnacentral:rRNA from 1 species
UGCAGUCGAACGCUUCUUUUUCCACCGGAGCUUGCUCCACCGGAAAAAGAGGAGUGGCGAACGGGUGAGUAACACGUGGGUAACCUGCCCAUCAGAAGGGGAUAACACUUGGAAACAGGUGCUAAUACCGUAUAACAAUCGAAACCGCAUGGUUUUGAUUUGAAAGGCGCUUUCGGGUGUCGCUGAUGGAUGGACCCGCGGUGCAUUAGCUAGUUGGUGAGGUAACGGCUCACCAAGGCCACGAUGCAUAGCCGACCUGAGAGGGUGAUCGGCCACAUUGGGACUGAGACACGGCCCAAACUCCUACGGGAGGCAGCAGUAGGGAAUCUUCGGCAAUGGACGAAAGUCUGACCGAGCAACGCCGCGUGAGUGAAGAAGGUUUUCGGAUCGUAAAACUCUGUUGUUAGAGAAGAACAAGGAUGAGAGUAACUGUUCAUCCCUUGACGGUAUCUAACCAGAAAGCCACGGCUAACUACGUGCCAGCAGCCGCGGUAAUACGUAGGUGGCAAGCGUUGUCCGGAUUUAUUGGGCGUAAAGCGAGCGCAGGCGGUUUCUUAAGUCUGAUGUGAAAGCCCCCGGCUCAACCGGGGAGGGUCAUUGGAAACUGGGAGACUUGAGUGCAGAAGAGGAGAGUGGAAUUCCAUGUGUAGCGGUGAAAUGCGUAGAUAUAUGGAGGAACACCAGUGGCGAAGGCGGCUCUCUGGUCUGUAACUGACGCUGAGGCUCGAAAGCGUGGGGAGCAAACAGGAUUAGAUACCCUGGUAGUCCACGCCGUAAACGAUGAGUGCUAAGUGUUGGAGGGUUUCCGCCCUUCAUUGCUGCAGCUAACGCAUUAAGCACUCCGCCGGGAGAGUACGACCGCAGGUUGAACUAGGAAAAU